UUGUUUUCUGUAUGCUCCUGUUCCAUGCUCCUGUUUGUUCUGUUUGCAAAGUGCUCUUCCAGUUUAACCUCAUUGCUCACUUGUUCCCUCACCAUGCUGGGCAUAACAUCAAUCAGCGCGUUUUGGAUCUCAUUAUGCAGGCAUGGUGGAAAAAAUGUCGACAGGCAUAGCAAAAAGCCGCAUCAACUUUCCAGCCACAAGUACUGUUUGAACCACAAGUGGCUGAAAGUCCUCAGUGUUAGCUGGGAUCCAAAUGUCCGACGCGGGUAUGAAAUAAGUUGAGGCUGCCUCGGUCUCUCUGCUGGGUCUUGACUUGACUCUUGACAGGGCCACCAGGAUUCCCACCACCCAUCAUCGCAGUUACAGCGCUCGGCGAAGUGGUCCCUUGACUCCCCGCUUCUUGCUGCACAUUUUCGGGAAUGUUACCGAGUCUUGUGUUAAUGACCGUGCCGCCGCUGAUGCUGCUGGACCCGACGCCUCUACUAUUACCACCCCUUCUUCAUCCUCGCUUUCAUCCUAAUUCUCCAGGACUGUCAUCACUCUGUCCUGCCUCCGUAGAUCACCAUCAUCCACUCUCAUUUGUUUUGUGGCUAUUACAAACCAGUCCAUUUCCCGUUUUUUUUCAAAAUCUGUGAA